GUUUACAUUAGGGUUUACUCCUGGUGGUGUACAUUCUGUGGGGUUUGACAAAUGAUAAAUUAUCAGAAGUAUCU